rnacentral:rRNA from 1 species
GACAGAGGGUGCAAACGUUGUUCGGAAUUACUGGGCGUAAAGCGUGUGUAGGCGGCCACGUAAGUCGGAUGUGAAAGCCCCAGGCUCAACUGGGAAGUGCACUCGAUACUGCGUGGCUUGAGUAUCGGAGAGGUUGGUGGAAUUCUCGGUGUAGAGGUGAAAUUCGUAGAUAUCGAGAGGAACACCGGUGGCGAAGGCGGCCAACUGGACGAAUACUGACGCUGAGGCGCGAAAGCGUGGGGAGCGAACAGG